rnacentral:rRNA from 1 species
CCCUUAGAUGUCCGGGGCUGCACGCGCGCUACACUGAAGGAAUCAGCGUGCUAAAACCAUUGUCGAAAGGCAUUGGUAAACCCGUUAAAAUCCUACGUGAUUGGGAUCGGGAAUUGCAAUUAUUUCCCUUGAACGAGGAAUUCCCAGUAAGUGUGGGUCAUAAGCUCGCGUUGAUUACGUCCCUGCCCUUUGUACACACCGCCCGUCGCUGCCCGGGACUGAGCCGUUUCGAGAAAAGCGGGGACUGCUGCUGUCGGGGCUUUCGGGCCUUGGCUUCGGUGGAAACCGCUUUAAUCGCAGUGGCUUGAACCGGGCAAAANUCGUANCA